UUUUUUUUUUUUUUUUUUUUUUUUUUUUUUUUUUUUUUUUUUUCUUUUUUUUUUUGCUUUAACGAGCAAAGAGUAAAAUGGCGCACGCGUUGAACAUACCUUCUGUUUAAAUUCAAAGCACCGCCAGUUUUGAGCGCAAACGCAAUUUGUAGCACGUUAUCCGCAAAUCGAAGCUUGCAUUAUUCACCAGAGUCGCAUCUAUAGGCCACACGCAUAGAUAAUAAAAUGAAUAAUUUUUUUACUUACCCUCCACCAACAGGUGGAUAUCCACCACUGGGGACAGCACUGCCAGGUCUUCUACUAAACAUGUCUGCUUGUGGUCCAGGACCAGUACUAUAACUAGGUGCCCCAGUGCUGUAGCUGGGUCCAGUACUCAUUGGCCUGUUAAAUGGAGGCAUAUCAUUAACAGGGGGACCAUCCCUCCUGUCAUAGGCCAUUGAAGCUCCCUGACUUACCCCCCCGGGCCCACCCAUCAUAUCCCCAGGCCCGCCCGGAUAA